rnacentral:rRNA from 1 species
CAUGCAAGUCGAGCGGAUGAGAGGAGCUUGCUCCUGGAUUCAGCGGCGGACGGGUGAGUAAUGCCUAGGAAUCUGCCUGAUAGUGGGGGACAACGUUUCGAAAGGAACGCUAAUACCGCAUACGUCCUACGGGAGAAAGCAGGGGACCUUCGGGCCUUGCGCUAUCAGAUGAGCCUAGGUCGGAUUAGCUAGUUGGUGAGGUAAUGGCUCACCAAGGCGACGAUCCGUAACUGGUCUGAGAGGAUGAUCAGUCACACUGGAACUGAGACACGGUCCAGACUCCUACGGGAGGCAGCAGUGGGGAAUAUUGGACAAUGGGCGAAAGCCUGAUCCAGCCAUGCCGCGUGUGUGAAGAAGGUCUUCGGAUUGUAAAGCACUUUAAGUUGGGAGGAAGGGUUGUAGAUUAAUACUCUGCAAUUUUGACGUUACCGACAGAAUAAGCACCGGCUAACUCUGUGCCAGCAGCCGCGGUAAUACAGAGGGUGCAAGCGUUAAUCGGAAUUACUGGGCGUAAAGCGCGCGUAGGUGGUUCGUUAAGUUGGAUGUGAAAUCCCCGGGCUCAACCUGGGAACUGCAUUCAAAACUGUCGAGCUAGAGUAUGGUAGAGGGUGGUGGAAUUUCCUGUG